UUUCGUACUUAAGGAUGGCCAGCCUGCUCGACUCGAGUUCUCACGCAUACGGUACUGUCUUCAAAAGGUUGAUCGACGACACGCAUCAUCCUGUCUGUUUAACAUAGACCCGUGGUACGGCCGCCGAGGUGCAGUUUACAAUGGCCACCAUUGGGAACAGACCUAGAACAAUAAAGAAACUCGAAAAGCCUCGGCCGCUGAAGCUCGGUCAACGCGACUGGACCGUUGAUGGUCGGAUCACGACCGUUGAAGACAUAGUUUCGUUGAUCGACAACGUGGCCAUGCACCUGUCCAACGGCUACUUUGAUCGAACGCUACAAAUGAACGUGGUUACCAUGUGCAAUCACCUCAAGUUAUAUGCCCACCAGCUGGAGGCCAUUUAUAAAGACCAGCUGGAUAGAGCAUUCGUGGCGAUCCGAAAUGGGAGUCAAGACGAAAAGCUUGACAUGACGACUAGGGUUUAUUUACUGGAACUUAUCGAAUUGAGGGCCAAACAGUGGCGUCAUACCGACUCGAUGGACGCGUAUUAUUGUCAAAAGCUCUCAAAUCUCGAUAAUCAAGGGGAAGCGAUCAUGACGCCCGAUACGCAAACCAACUUGCUGAUAUCGCCUCUGAUGCCCAUGGCCUCGCCAAUAGCUACCAUCGCACCCGUUCUUUGUCCUGGUGAAGUCAUUAAGAAUAGCGGAAAAUUUGCAAAACCUACACGAAUUCCAGGAAAGAAUUAUUGCAAAGACGAGGUCGUGAUACGUAACAGUGAUUCUGGCAAAGUGAUGGGAAUAAAGGGGCGACGGGUUCACAUGAUCGAGGAACUCAGCGAGACGAUCAUCUCCUUCCAGCGAGUAAAUCCUGGGGCUAAAGAACGACUUGUCCAGAUAACGGGAACUUCCGAGGACAAGAUACACUAUGCGAAAGAUCUGAUAAAAGACACGAUACAGCGAAACGCAUCACCGGUGAGAUUGGAGCAGGGUGGUGGUGAGAAGGGCGGUAUCGGUGGAUCUAGCUCCUCUUUGAACAGUAGCGCCUCCGACGAGAGUAACAGACUUCAGCAACAGCAGCAACACACUUCCCGAUUCCGUUCUACUCUACUUCAUAGCUUCUCCACGAACGACGCCAGCAUUGGCGAAUACAAGUACACUGUCACAGUUGGCAAUCAUUCACUCAAGAUCACGGGUUGUAAUUUGGAUCUCGUUCGGACUGCGAAAUUAGUCCUAGAUGAGUACUUUGCGGGGGACUCUGAGCACUUUGCGAGUGGAGUCGAAUACUUCAGCUUCGAAGAAGAGCCCUCGUUUGCGUCCGCUACGCCAACAACGCCUCAGACUCCGUUAACCCCGGCUAACGCUGACGCGCUCACUAAAGAAUUGAGUUUGGACAGUGGCGCCACUUCAGAGAGCGAAGAGACGUACAAGCCCCGCCGUCUGAAUCCCGAGAUAGAGCCUGCUGCUCCUGAGACCGAAAACAGAGAGCUCACAUAUGAGUUCCUGCUGCAGUGUUCGACCGGACCAUACGCUAAGCGGGCCCCUGUCGACUGGGCUCGUAUCCAGAAGGAAUGCCCGAGCAUCGUUCGCAAGAAUCGUCACGGAAGUCCAUUUGUAAGAAAGUACAAUAAAAGCGCGAUCAUUGACUAGCACUGAGAGCGGUACCAUCUCAUUAGUUCUUUUCUACUUUGCUGUUUUCUACUGUGCUUGUCGGUUCGAUUAUUCCUCAAUAUGUUAUUCAGUAUUAAUGUUUAUACUCUGUGCACGACUAGCACUACUUAUUUCGUGGUGUAUAUGACGUGAAACUUUUUUUCUUUUUUUCUUUUUUUUUCCCGGUUUUUCUUCUCUUCUCUAUCGAGUGAAACCAUUAAUUAACUAAAGUUGCUGUGGUGCGCGUAAAUUCCCAUGAAGCAUUUAUCGUAACACGUUCAACUUAAUCGUAUAGUCGUAUUCAUACGAACGAACCAUCACGUUAUGUGCGCUCUCUUGCGUGCGAUUAGCAAGACAUCAAGGAAAAGAUUAAUUUCACAAAUGUUAUCUACGCCAAGUCGUGCUAAUUCGUAUGCUCCAAUCUGCGCGUACCGUGAUAAUGAAAAAAAAAUGUUAUUCCAAACACGCAUGAUUUACUUCAUUUAGUUUUUUUUUAUUUCUUUGGUUCGAAUUGUACGAAUAUAAAAGACAUAGUCACGGUGAAUGUCUAAAAGGAAUUUACGUGAAUCAUGAAUUGUUCAAGGAAACGGUGCGUUCGUUAUACCGCUUUAACGUCGACCAGUCGAAACCAAAGAAGUCCUAGUGCAGCGGUUUGGCACGUAUACUUAUAAUAACACAUUGACAGCGCACUGCCUACUACCUUAACCGAUAAAUUGUGCAACAAUUAUCAAUAAAACCACUAUGUUUUCAUGGAAAUUCAUUAACCCAUAAUCUGGUGUGUGGUUCUUUUACUUGUCACAAUAUCUCGAGACAUCACAACCACGUGCUAAAUCAUUUUCGAAUUAAUGGAAGUAUCUCAUGUACGAAGACAACACAGCUAAGCUGCAUUUUUGCAUUUUUGCAUUCUUAUAUUAUGCUCUCAUUCUCGACUAAGGCAUGCUACUUUUAUCAGGAAGUCGGAAGAGGCACCGAUUCGCUGGUUCGAACCGGAAGCAUAUAAGGCGAAGGUGGCGGCUGCCGGUCUCGUAACGGUGCUCCCGAUCGGCGAUACGGAAAAUGACCCCGAAUGAAAGGAAAAAACGAUAAUCAUCUCUGGCCUUCAAAGCUGUCCUGAACAACGAACCCGCCGGAUGUUUCUCCUAUAAUUAAUCAUAAAUAAUUCUGAAAACGCGCUUCUACUCGCCGGCCAGUCGUAAGCGUGUUCUUUUUGUAUGCUCGUUUUUUCGCGAACUACGACAAGAAGCUUCGUGUGAAUCAAUCUCUUUUACUUAACAAAAGAUGGAAGAAAAAGAAGAAGCAUAAUGCUUUCCCGAGUGAGCACGACGAAGAUGAUCGCUGAGCGCUCCCAAGUGCCAAAGGGGAUUUUCAUUGCUAAUAACUGUCAUGGCACUUGAAACUAUUCCGCCACAGAGGGCAUUCGCAGAUGUUAUUUUUAAGAGAUUCCUCAUCUCGCCUCACAUAGACAACGCAAACGAUCUUAAUGCUUUGUACGAGUGCUUAGGGGUGAUGCCACCGGCGUACAAGAGUGCUCCGCUUAUUUUCUCGAAUAUUGUCGGUCAAUUUAUUCUUCUCCGUCACCAUUACUGCGAUCCUUCGGUAUCUCUCUAUAAAGUUAUGGGGUACACGCUGACUGACUGCGCCUGUCGGACACGAGAACAUGUUUCCUCAUUAUAUGCAACAGUCGGACACUAUGCGCAUCUGCAUCAUAUUCCAUUUACCCCAAUUUAUAUGUACCUCCAGUAAUGCCGGAAUCACGAUCCGUAUAGAGCGCAACGUGGAUCUUCUGAUUACAAUGUACAUGAAAAACCAAAUGUAUCAGCGCAAGAAAUAGUUGAUCCAACUGUUAACAUAUGAUAGACAAAUUGGAAUAGAAACUGGCCGUAGCAUGUCUUCCGCGUUAAGAGAAAUACUUUUUUGUAAUUUCACUCUGAUAUUGCUCUGUUACAAGUGUGAGAUUGUUCAACGGCGACGUACGAUCAAAUCUUUAGCCGCAGAUGCUUUUCGCAAACUAAUUAACUUGCGUGCAAUAAGAGACACAUAUCAAGAAGAAUUGUAAAAUUCGUAAUUCUCUAUUAGCUUAAUCUCUAGUCUAAAUAUUUAAAAGGGGAACUAGUACCAUUUCUACUUCUAUUGUUGUUGGGACAACUGUUCAUUCGUGACGCGAUAUAACCAAAUUGCGACUAUACCGACUAAUGCCAAAAACUAUUGACAACGUGAUUCUACCGGGUUGUUCAGGCCAAAAGGCGCACCACCUGAAGUUAGAGCGCCCAUUUGAUUCCUAUGGCAAAACUAUGUUCAGGUGGUACGUUUCGGCCGAAUAAACAGAUAUAUUUUGUACAUUUAAGCAUAGUAUACUGUUAUAUUCACUGUAAUCGAGCAGGCCGAGGCACAUCUUUUGCAGAAUAGCUCCGUCCUGCAUGCUCAAAUGCAUAUGUUAGGGAUUUGUUGCCCACUUGUGAGGACAAUCCAUCACAUGUAAUUUUGUAGCAUGCGCGAUCGUAUGCCCGCAAUCACAAAGCAAUCUUGCAAUAUCCUACCCAUUGAUGGGACGUAUAAUCUAACGAUACGUCAAGUGUUUUAUAACCAUAGCAUAUUAGAAAGUAGGAAAUUUUAACAGCGCUGAUAUAUUGAUAUACUGUAAUGUAUUUUCUUGACUCGACACCGCUAACGUAAAUCCGAGAGCUAACCUACGACCUUCGGCUGUCCACCCUUCGUCCAUGCAUCCGCAUGCCAGGCGGCCGCCAGCCAAUUCUUAUUUCAUCGAGAACUGACGAGCCGCUAUGUCCUGGAAGUUGAGGUGCAAAGGACUGAAUUCCGGAAAAACGAGAACUCUCACGGAACCCAUAAGAAGAGACGACGGUAGCCUAAACGGAUCCUGUAGAUUUUUGGGGUCGCGUAAAAUCAGCAAACUGGUUGCACGAGCGCUCAGGCUGCUAGGAUGUGACAAAGGUAGAGAGAGGGUCGGAGGAAGUAAGCGUCAGGUAAAUAGUGCCGGAAACAGAGAGCAAUUGAUCGAGAUUGUAAGAAAAUUAAUCGGAAGCUAUAAGAUCGGGAGCCCUCCACCAAUUAAUAAAUUUGGAGUCCUCACCGGAGCUGGUUCAGCUAAUCCGUAUGAAUUCCGAGAAACACUCCGGUGGACACUGCACUAUAGUACACGCAGAUUCUGGAUAUAGCGAGAGUAACGCGAGAACUACAGUAGCGAGAGCUUUCGAUACCGUAAAGAAAAACUAUCGGCAGACAGCGCGGGAACGCGAGCCAGCUCGUGACACCUCGGUCGGCGCUCCGAGACAGACUGCUUUGACAAUAGCCAAAUGCCAAAUUCGAGAACUAAUCAUCUGAUUACUCUUGUCCUUUUCCUCGAGUCGUUCCUUUAAAUUAAAUCAAGAGCGUUCCUUAGCGAAUCGGUACGUAGCAAACCGGGAUAUCCUCCACGGGCGCCGCUUCCCCAGGACGUCGGCCGACAGCCAGACCGCUAAUCUUUAGCUCCCCUGACUUUAAUCGUACCAGAACUACAUCUAUCUCUAAAGGGGCGCCGGUACCUGAUCCGGACCUCCGUCGGUUCGUCAAGACGUCUCCGUCGGACACAGGGCGUAUUUCUGCCGGGCAACUCGGUACUUCGUGAGUCUAUCUCUUCACGGCAGAUUCUCGAGCACCUCGACCUCAAUCAAAUAACAAAAGUUUCGAGAGCAUUCGCAUAACUGUUAUACUAAUCAAUCCGGGAGCGUAACUUGUAAGCAGGGUGGCGGACUCGAAGGGAACCAGAAAGCUAAAACGUUAUCCGAAUUGGUAGCUGGAAUCGCCAUGUCACCGUGAGUCCAAAAAUCCCACGUCACAAUACUCGUUACUUUGUGUUUGCUGUUGUGAUAAAUCACUCUCGAUCGAUUCUAUCUGUCUCCUUGCAAGUCCCAAGUGCCUAUACAUAUACUUAACUAUACAAUGUGUAUUGUGAUGUAUUGUCCCGUGAGUCGAUUCUUUCCUUUUCUCCGAGGCAUCGGUCUGCACUCGUCGGAGGCCUUCCUCCAAUUUUUCAACGCAGAUAAACACUUUUUAACGCGAGUAAAGAUUAAACUGGCAAAUUUAAUGCAUCGUAAAAAUUCAUUAUCCGUCUCUAGGUGAUUUCAUUAUUGACGGAAGACACGUUCUCUACACAGAUACCCCGAACUAUCGUAAAACUAGGGAUCAGAGAUUACUUGCGUAGCGCUCAAGUAUUUAAAAAUUGAUUGUAACUUUUUUCGCGGUCGUAAUGGGUUUUCGUCUUUUUGUAAUCUAUUUAUUCCUUCGACUUCUUUUACGCUUUUUCUCCAACUAUUUGUUAUUCAUUCCGUGACAUUCUUCAGGAAUUCCCCCUCCCAAUAUAUAUUAGCUGCACUCUGCUCUAGAUCUAACGACACCUAAGCGCACACAUAAUUCAUGCACACUUGAUACUUAAGAGAACCUUUGCCCUAUGUCACGGAAUGAAGCUUUCUUAAACUUAUUAUCUUUACGAUCUGUUAUGUUUGUUAGAGUUUUUACAUUAUUUAAUAUUUAUUAACAUUACGCUAUUUUUAUUAUUACACGCCGAUUACCACUAUUAUUACGAUUAUUACAAUCAUUACCAGAAGUAUAGGCGAAACGUUUCGAUAAUUUAUUCCUAUACCGUCUAACGCCACAUACGCCAACGCUCUAACGUUCAAUCGUAGACUCGUGAACGUAGACGAGUCCAGCGAAUAAUGGGGAAAGAUCUUGAUUGGACUGGAAGAAAAGUACCUGCCGCUUAUACAAGCACACAGCGAGAGAGAGAGAGAGAGAGAGAGAGAGAGAUGCGGCAGAUUAUUCCGAGGAACAUGUCACAGAAGAGAGAAUGGUGUUGAUUCAAUUAAAUACACAAGUUCGAUUCUGUACUAAGUA